rfam:Mesocricetus auratus contig126968, whole genome shotgun sequence.
UGGCGCCCAAUGUGGAGACCCAGGUACGAGGGCUUCAGUGAAGAACAUCACUAAGGAGAGCCGGACAUAUCAAAAAGAAAAGAAAUAGAGAUAGUUGCAAGACGGGGGCCUGCUGAAGCAACAAAGACCUCAGUAAGUGAGCUAUGAUAUGGGACAAGAAAUGAGUCAACAUGAAUUGUUUGUUGAAGACCUCAAGAAGACACUUAAGGCAUGAGAGAUUAGGCUUAAAACACAGGAUUUGUUAAAGUUUUCUGUAUUUAUUAAGGAAGUUUGUCCCU